AUUGAACGCUGGCGGCAUGCUUUACACAUGCAAGUCGAACGGUAACAGGCCGCAAGGUGCUGACGAGUGGCGAACGGGUGAGUAAUGCAUCGGAACGUGCCCAGUCGUGGGGGAUAACGCAGCGAAAGCUGUGCUAAUACCGCAUACGAUCUGUGGAUGAAAGCGGGGGACCUUCGGGCCUCGCGCGAUUGGAGCGGCCGAUGUCAGAUUAGGUAGUUGGUGGGGUAAAGGCUCACCAAGCCAACGAUCUGUAGCUGGUCUGAGAGGACGACCAGCCACACUGGGACUGAGACACGGCCCAGACUCCUACGGGAGGCAGCAGUGGGGAAUUUUGGACAAUGGGCGCAAGCCUGAUCCAGCAAUGCCGCGUGCAGGAAGAAGGCCUUCGGGUUGUAAACUGCUUGUGUACGGAGCGAAAAGGCUCCCUCUAAUACAGGGGGCUCAUGACGGUACCGUAAGAAUAAGCACCGGCUAACUACGUGCCAGCCGCCGCCGUAAUAC
rnacentral:rRNA from 1 species